UACGUAGGGUGCAAGCGUUAAUCGGAAUUACUGGGCGUAAAGCGUGCGCAGGCGGUUCGUUGUGUCGGUGGUGAAAUCCCCGGGCUUAACCUGGGAAUGGCCAUGGAAACUGGCGAACUGGAGUGCGGCAGAGGGGGGUGGAAUUCCUGGUGUAGCAGUGAAAUGCGUAGAUAUCAGGAGGAAUACCGAUGGCGAAGGCAGGUCUCUGGGCUGACACUGACGCUCAUGCACGAAAGCGUGGGGAGCAAACAGG
rnacentral:rRNA from 1 species